rnacentral:rRNA from 1 species
UACGUAGGCUGCAAGCGUUGUUCGGAAUUACUGGGCGUAAAGAGUGUGUAGGCGGUGCUCUAAGUUUGUCGUGAAAUCUCCCGGCUUAACUGGGAGGGUGCGGCGAAAACUGGAGUGCUAGAGGGUGGGAGAGGAAAGCGGAAUUCCUGGUGUAGCGGUGAAAUGCGUAGAUAUCAGGAGGAACACCUGCGGUGUAGACAGCUUUCUGGACCACAUCUGACGCUGAGACACGAAAGCGUGGGUAGCAAACAGG